CCCCAGACUCCUACGGGAGGCAGCAGUGGGGAAUAUUGGGCAAUGGGCGCAAGCCUGACCCAGCGACGCCGCGUGAGGGAAGACGGUCUUCGGUAUGUAAAGCUCUAUCAGCAGGGAAGAAGAAAGACGGUACCUGACUAAGAAGCCCCGGCUAACUACGUGCCAGCAGCCGCGGUAAUACGUAGGGGGCAAGCGUUAUCCGGAUUUACUGGGUGUAAAGGGAGCGUAGACGGCUGUGCAAGUCUGAAGUGAAAGCCCGUGGCUCAACCGCGGAACUGCUUUGGAAACUGUAUAGCUUGAGUACUGGAGAGGCAGGCGGAAUUCCUAGUGUAGCGGUGAAAUGCGUAGAUAUUAGGAGGAACACCAGUGGCGAAGGCGGCCUGCUGGACAGAAACUGACGUUGAGGCUCGAAAGCGUGGGGAGCAAACAGGAUUAGAUACCCCUGUA
rnacentral:rRNA from 1 species